UACAGAGGGUGCAAGCGUUAAUCGGAAUUACUGGGCGUAAAGCGCACGUAGGCGGUUAGUUAAGUUGGAUGUGAAAGCCCCGGGCUCAACCUGGGAAUUGCAUUCAAAACUGGCCAACUAGAGUACGUGAGAGGGGGGUAGAAUUCCAAGUGUAGCGGUGAAAUGCGUAGAGAUUUGGAGGAAUACCAGUGGCGAAGGCGGCCCCCUGGCACGAUACUGACGCUCAGGUGCGAAAGCGUGGGGAGCAAACAGG
rnacentral:rRNA from 1 species